rnacentral:rRNA from 1 species
ACUCCUACGGGAGGCAGCAGUGGGAAUAUUGCACAAUGGGCGGAAGCCUGAUGCAGCGACGCCGCGUGAGGGAUGACGGCCUUCGGGUUGUAAACCUCUUUCGACAGGGACGAAGCGCAAGUGACGGUACCUGUAGAAGAAGCACCGGCCAACUACGUGCCAGCAGCCGCGGUAAUACGUAGGGUGCGAGCGUUGUCCGGAAUUACUGGGCGUAAAGAGCUUGUAGGCGGCUUGUCGCGUCUUCUGUGAAACUCACAGCUCAACUGUGAGCUUGCAGGGGAUACGGGCAGGCUAGAGUACUUCAGGGGAGACUGGAAUUCCUGGUGUAGCGGUGAAAUGCGCAGAUAUCAGGAGGAACACCGGUGGCGAAGGCGGGUCUCUGGGAAGUAACUGACGCUGAGAAGCGAAAGCGUGGGUAGCGAACAGGAUUAGAUACCCUGGUAGGCUCUG